rnacentral:rRNA from 1 species
AUUGAACGCUGGCGGCAGGCAUAACACAUGCAAGUCGAACGAGUGGCGGACGGGUGAGUAAUGCCUGGGAAACUGCCUGAUGGAGGGGGAUAACUACUGGAAACGGUAGCUAAUACCGCAUACCAUCAGAUGUGCCCAGAUGGGAUUAGCUAGUUGGUGGGGUAACGGCUCACCAAGGCGACGAUCCCUAGCUGGUCUGAGAGGAUGAAAAGCCACACUGGAACUGAGACACGGCCCAGACUCCUACGGGAGGCAGCAGUGGGGAAUAUUGCACAAUGGGCGAAAGCCUGAUGCAGCGAUGCCGCGUGUAUGAAGAAGGCCGUCGGGUUGUAAAGUACUUUAAGCAGGGAGGCGUUACCCACAGAAGAAGCACCGGCUAACUCCGUGCCAGCAGCCGCGGUAAUAC